rnacentral:rRNA from 1 species
UACGUAGGGUGCAAGCGUUGUCCGGAAUUACUGGGCGUAAAGGGCUCGUAGGCGGUUUGUUGCGUCGGGAGUGAAAACCCCGGGCUUAACUCGGUGCUUGCUUUCGAUACGGGCAGACUAGAGGUAUGCAGGGGAGAACGGAAUUCCUGGUGUAGCGGUGAAAUGCGCAGAUAUCAGGAGGAACACCGGUGGCGAAGGCGGUUCUCUGGGCAUUACCUGACGCUGAGGAGCGAAAGUGUGGGGAGCGAACAGG